AGUCUUCGGACUUUAGUGGCGGACGGGUGAGUAACGCGUGAGGAUCUGCCUACAGGACUGGGACAACAGCUGGAAACGGCUGCUAAAACCGGAUGUGCCGAGAGGUGAAAUAUUUAUAGCCUGUAGAUGAGCUCGCGUCUGAUUAGCUAGUUGGUGAGGUAAGGGCUCACCAAGGCGACGAUCAGUAGCUGGUCUGAGAGGACGAUCAGCCACACUGGGACUGAGACACGGCCCAGACUCCUACGGGAGGCAGCAGUGGGGAAUUUUCCGCAAUGGGCGAAAGCCUGACGGAGCAAUACCGCGUGAGGGAGGAAGGUCUGUGGAUUGUAAACCUCUUUUGAUAGGGAAGAAGUUCUGACGGUACCUAUCGAAUCAGCAUCGGCUAACUCCGUGCCAGCAGCCGCGGUAAUACGGAGGAUGCAAGCGUUAUCCGGAUUUAUUGGGCGUAAAGCGUCCGUAGGUGGUUAUUCAAGUCUAUUGUCAAAGCCUGGGGCUUAACCCUGGAGAGGCGGUGGAAACUGAAUAACUAGAGUGCGGUAGGGGCAGAGGGAAUUCCCAGUGUAGCGGUGAAAUGCGUAGAUAUUGGGAAGAACACCGGUGGCGAAAGCGCUCUGCUGGGCCUGCACUGACACUGAGGGACGA
rnacentral:rRNA from 1 species